GACGAACGCUGGCGGCGUGCCUAAUACAUGCAAGUAGAACGCUGAAGGAGGAGCUUGCUUCUCUGGAUGAGUUGCGAACGGGUGAGUAACGCGUAGGUAACCUGCCUGGUAGCGGGGGAUAACUAUUGGAAACGAUAGCUAAUACCGCAUAAUAGCAGUUGUUGCAUGAUAACUGUUUGAAAGGUGCAAUUGCACCACUACCAGAUGGACCUGCGUUGUAUUAGCUAGUUGGUGGGGUAACGGCUCACCAAGGCGACGAUACAUAGCCGACCUGAGAGGGUGAUCGGCCACACUGGGACUGAGACACGGCCCAGACUCCUACGGGAGGCAGCAGUAGGGAAUCUUCGGCAAUGGACGGAAGUCUGACCGAGCAACGCCGCGUGAGUGAAGAAGGUUUUCGGAUCGUAAAGCUCUGUUGUAAGAGAAGAACGAGUGUGAGAGUGGAAAGUUCACACUGUGACGGUAUCUUACCAGAAAGAGACGGCUAACUACGUG
rnacentral:rRNA from 1 species